rnacentral:piRNA from 1 species
UCUUUUUUAAAUUUAGUCUUU